AUGACUCCCAGACCCAUCUCACUACUGCUGUUACUGGCAGCUGCAUCCUGUGGAUACUGCCAGACCCUGACAGAGUCAGAAGGAGCUGUGGUGUCACCUGGAGGAUCGUACAAACUCACCUGUACGGCCUCUGGGCUGGACAUCAGUGGCUACUACAUGGCUUGGAAUAGACAAGCACCUGGAAAGGGGCUAGAAUGGGUUACAAGCAUGUACAGCACUAAUAUUUAUUAUUCACAAGCUGCUCAGGGACGAUUCACCAUCUCCAGAGACAACAGCAAGAGUCAGGUGUAUCUGCAGAUGAACAGUCUGAAGGCUGAAGACACGGCUGUGUAUUACUGUGCCCGACAGCCACAGUGA